rnacentral:tRNA from 1 species
GAGGGUAUAGCUCAGUGGUAGAGCGUGUGCUCAGCAUGCAUGAGGUCCUGAGUUUAAUCCCUACUACCUCCA